rnacentral:lncRNA from 1 species
UAAAACCAUCUGAGGAAGACUAAUAUUAUGUUUUGUGCUUCCAUAAGCACAUGAUGACAACUAUGGUCAACGAUGCUCUAAAUCUGCCUGCAUCUCUGGGAAAUGUCUGGAGGGAACAGAGGCUGUGGUCUCCAUGGAAACUGUGGCCGACCAAUGGUGGGUGUUUGCUGCCUGAACAUAUGACACGCUGCCUUUGGAGGGAAAGCUGGACCCAGGAAGGAGCAAAAGCAGGAGGAGGAAAUUUACACAGCAUAAAUAUGUUUGCUCUCUGAAUGAGCUCACCAUGUUUCCCCGAGCUCAUUAAAAUAUCAAACCCAGAGUUAUAUUUCAAUAUGUAGAUAUUGUCAAUAAAAGUAGCUUCAGCUUAAUAUUCUGGGUGAAGUGUUUGGUUUUAUUAUAUUAAACAUGCUACAGUAAUAUUGUCGAGUAUACCA